rnacentral:lncRNA from 1 species
UUUUAAAUACAUUUUUUAUUUCUUUUUUUCAUUUGUCUUAGAAAGAAAUAUGAAAUCUGCAUGCAACCUUCUAAAUAUUUCAACCAUUUAAAUAGCAUAUGAUAAUUUAGCGGUACAGUACAUUAUACAGCGAGAUAAUACAGGGAGACUUCCUAGAGUAUAUUUACAAAUGAAAAGGUAGUUUUGUUAUUUUAGAAAGAGGAAUGCACUGCUUAACAUUGAAGUAUUACAUUCAAAAUAAUGAAUAUGUUGUGACUAAAACAUAGGUAUUUAUAUGUUUGCCCUAUCAUAUUUUUUUCAUAAAAAGGUACCUUUUAAAGGCUUUUUUUCAUUGCUACAAAUCUAGGAAAUCAUACACGAUAGUCUUGAAGCUUAAAAUGUCUCAGUAAUGAAGCCACAAACUUUCUGUAAGAGCUUCAGUUGGAAAAAAAAAACCCCCAAAAAACCAAAAACGAAAAACAAAAUAAACAUUUGCUUAGUAAUAAAAAUGACCUAGAAAUGCUUUCUAAUGCAUGGAACAUUAGAUAGGAGAUCUGGUAUGCUUCACCUUGCAGCAAGACCUCAAGUCCAUUGAAGAAGAGGUGCACAAGUGAUGUUCACACUCAUUGACGAUGGGCUGAGGGACCUCACUUCUGCUGUUACAGCCAUGACAUUCCAGUGGCAUCUUCCCCAGCAAGCUCAUCUUUGGUCCCUGCUUUGCCUGACUAAAUUGGAGGCUGCAAACAUGACAAAGAACCACAGCACCGAAGCUUUCCCACUGCGAAAGGGUGAGGGACAUGGCUGUAUAACACCUUUACAAACAUUACUGUUUGUUUAAUGAGCUUAUAAAGCUCGAUUGCAAUCAUAGUGAAGUAUGAAUGAAUAACAAUAAAAAAAACCCCAACAAAUCCAAAUCCAACCUCUUUAAAAUGAAAAGCAUGAGUUUCCCCAAUCUCAGUACAGAGCAGACGGGUAUGAAAUCUGAAGUGCAACAGAUGCAUGUGGAAUCUGGAAGCCUUUUGCAUGUGGCUAUAAAAUGUAAAAACUGACCCUUGGUAAAAAGUGCUUUAUAAUAAUAUAGAUUGUGUCUUAUGUCUGUGAGAGAGAAAUAAUCUUCUGCAGAGCCCAGUCCUAUGCCAGCCAAGGGAGUCUGCUCUGUUCUUCAUGCCGCUUCCUCUUAUUCUUCAUAAACCC